rnacentral:rRNA from 1 species
AGUGAACGCUGGCGGUAGGCCUAACACAUGCAAGUCGAACGGCAGCACAGGAGAGCUUGCUCUCUGGGUGGCGAGUGGCGGACGGGUGAGGAAUACAUCGGAAUCUACCUUUUCGUGGGGGAUAACGUAGGGAAACUUACGCUAAUACCGCAUACGACCUACGGGUGAAAGUGGGGGACCGCAAGGCCUCACGCGAUUAGAUGAGCCGAUGUCCGAUUAGCUAGUUGGCGGGGUAAUGGCCCACCAAGGCGACGAUCGGUAGCUGGUCUGAGAGGAUGAGCAGCCACACUGGAACUGAGACACGGUCCAGACUCCUACGGGAGGCAGCGGUGGGGAAUAUUGGACAAUGGGCGCAAGCCUGAUCCAGCCAUACCGCGUGGGUGAAGAAGGCCUUCGGGUUGUAAGGCCCUUUUGUUGGGAAAGAAAUCCUGUCGAUUAAUACUCGGUGGGGAUGACGGUACCCAAAGAAUAAGCACCGGCUAACUUCGUGCCAGCCGCCGCAGUAAGAC